rnacentral:rRNA from 1 species
AUCUUGAAAAUAAAAUAAGUUGGCGGUAUUUUAGUCUAUUCAGAGGAACUUGCCCUAUAAUUGAUGAUCCACGAUUUAAUUUACUUAUUUUUUUAGUUUGCAUAUCGCCGUAGAUUGAAUAUUCUAAAAAGAAUUGGUAAUGUUCAAGAUUUUUUUAAAAAAAUAAAUCAGGUCAAGGUGUAGCUUAUAGAUAAGAAGAGGUGAGUUACAAUAAGUUUACUUACAAUGGAUUAAAAAAUGAAUAUUUUUUAUGAAGGUGGAUUUGAAAGUAAUUUUAUUUAAAUUAAUAAAAUGAUUUUAGCUCUAAAAUAUGUACAUAUCGCCCGUCACUUUCAUUACAAAAUGGAAUAAGUCGUAACAAAGUAGGUGUACUGGAAAGUGUUUCUGGAAACAAAUUAGAGCUUGAUUUAAGCAUUUUAGUUACAUUAAAAAGUUUAUUGUAAAUUCAAUAUGAUUUGAAUUUUUUUUAUUAUUGAAAUUUAUUAUUUAUAAAAUUUUAAAAUAAGAAUAUUUAUUUUUUAUUAUAUUUUUUGAAAAAAUUAUUUUAAUUAUAGUUUAUUAGUAUUGUGAAAGAAUUAAUAAAAAUAAUUGAAAGAAAAUUUUAUUUUUUGUACCUGGGUAUCAGGGUUUACUAAAAAAAUAUUAAAAAUUUAAUUUUCUCGAAUUAAUAAGAGUUAUAAUUAUAUAUUGUUUUUGUGGAAUAAAAAUUAUUAAUAUAAUUAUUGAAGUUAAAUGCUAUUCGAUUAUUAAUAUAUCUAGUUUUUAAAGAAAAAAAUUUAAUUUUUUUAUUAAAAAUUAUUUCAACUAAAUUUUUAGUUUUAUAUUUUUAAUAUUUUAUAUUUUAAGGGAUGAGCUUUAAAAUAAAAUUUUUUAAAAUAAUAAAUUUUUUUUAUUAAGUAGAAUUGUAAGUUUUUAUCUUUAAAAGUGUGUUGUUACUUUUUUUAAAAUAAAUAUAAUUUUUAUAUUUUUGAAAUAUUUUAUUUAAAUAAAAAUUUAAAUUUAAAAAAUUUUGUGAUAAUGGUAAAAUUAGUAUAAAAUUUUGUUAUAAUUAUUUUUUGUACGAAAGGUUAAAUAAAGGAACUCGGCAAAUUAAUUUUUCACCUGUUUAUUAAAAACAUGGCCUUUUGAUUAUAAUUUAAGGUCUGACCUGCCCACUGAGAAUUUAAAUGGCCGCGGUAUUCUGACCGUGCAAAGGUAGCAUAAUCAUUAGUUUUUUAAUUGAAAGCUGGAAUGAAAGGUUGAAUGAGAAAAUAACUGUCUCUAUUUUAAUUUUUUAGAAAUUUAUUUUUAAGUAAAAAAGCUUAAAUUAUAUUUGAAGACGAGAAGACCCUAUAGAGUUUUAUUAUUUUACUUUUUAAAUUUAUUAGUAUAUAG